AUUGAACGCUGGCGGCAGGCCUAACACAUGCAAGUCGAACGAGUGGCGGACGGGUGAGUAAUGUCUGGGAAACUGCCUGAUGGAGGGGGAUAACUACUGGAAACGGUAGCUAAUACCGCCUACCAGCGGCUAGGCCCAGAUGGGAAUAGCUAGUUGGUGGGGUAACGGCUCACCAAGGCGACGAUCCCUAACUGGUCUGAGAGGAUGACCAGCCACACUGGAACUGAGACACGGUCCAGACUCCUACGGGAGGCAGCAGUGGGGAAUAUUGCACAAUGGGCGAAAGCCUGAUGCAGCCAUGCCGCGUGUGUGAAGAAGGUCUUCGGGUUGUAAAGUACUUUCAGUUGGGAGGCGUUACCCGCAGAAGAAGCACCGGCUAACUCCGUGCCAGCCGCCGCGGUAAUAC
rnacentral:rRNA from 1 species